AACGAACGCUGGCGGCAGGCUUAACACAUGCAAGUCGAGCGCCCCGCAAGGGGAGCGGCAGACGGGUGAGUAACGCGUGGGAAUCUACCCAUCUCUACGGAAUAACGCAUGGAAACGUGUGCUAAUACCGUAUACGUCCUUUGGGAGAAUGAUUUAUCGGAGAUGGAUGAGCACGCGUUGGAUUAGCUAGUUGGGGGGGUAAAGGCCUACCAAGGCGACGAUCCAUAGCUGGUCUGAGAGGAUGAUCAGCCACACUGGGACUGAGACACGGCCCAGACUCCUACGGGAGGCAGCAGUGGGGAAUAUUGGACAAUGGGCGCAAGCCUGAUCCAGCCAUGCCGCGUGAGUGAUGAAGGCCCUAGGGUUGUAAAGCUCUUUCACCGGUGAAGAUAAUGACGGUAACCGGAGAAGAAGCCCCGGCUAACUUCGUGCCAGCCGCCGCUGUAACAC
rnacentral:rRNA from 1 species